CUUCGGCGAACGUGCCCUGUAGUGGGGGAUAACUAGUCGAAAGACUAGCUAAUACCGCAUACGACCUGAGGGUGAAAGUGGGGGACCGCAAGGCCUCAUGCUAUAGGAGCGGCCGAUGUCUGAUUAGCUAGUUGGUGGGGUAAAGGCCCACCAAGGCGACGAUCAGUAGCUGGUCUGAGAGGACGAUCAGCCACACUGGGACUGAGACACGGCCCAGACUCCUACGGGAGGCAGCAGUGGG
rnacentral:rRNA from 1 species